UUACGGCCACAUCACGUUGAAACACCGGCACCCGUACGAUCACCAAAGUUAAGCAACGUCGAACCUGAUCGAUCCUUAGAUGGGUGACUGUUUGGGAAUACCAGGCGUUA